rnacentral:rRNA from 1 species
GGUGAACGCUGGCGGCGUGCCUAAUACAUGCAAGCCGAGCGAACGGACGAGAAGCUUGCUUCUCUGAUGUUAGCGGCGGACGGGUGAGUAACACGUGGAUAACCUACCUAUAAGACUGGGAUAACUUCGGGAAACCGGAGCUAAUACCGGAUGAUAUUUUGAACCGCAUGGUCCAAAAGUGAAAGACGGUCUUGCUGUCACUUAUAGAUGGAUCCGCGCUGCAUUAGCUAGUUGGUAAGGUAACGGCUUACCAAGGCAACGAUGCAUAGCCGACCUGAGAGGGUGAUCGGCCACACUGGAACUGAGACACGGUCCAGACUCCUACGGGAGGCAGCAGUAGGGAAUCUUCCGCAAUGGGCGAAAGCCUGACGGAGCAACGCCGCGUGAGUGAUGAAGGUCUUCGGAUCGUAAAACUCUGUUAUUAGGGAAGAACAUAUGUGUAAGUAACUGUGCACAUCUUGACGGUACCUAAUCAGAAAGCCACGGCUAACUACGUG